rnacentral:lncRNA from 1 species
GAGGUAUGGUUAACUGUACUAAAACAAUGAGGUAAAAGGAUGGGAAAGGUUACUUGAGGGUUAACUUCAUGGGGACCCCAUAAGUCAUGGCCACCGUCUAGUUCCUCUUCCCUUUUUUCCUCUCGGUUGUUGUGCUCCAGUGAUGACGUUCCUCCCUUUAUAAGUCAAACUUCAAUCUCUCACUCUCUUUCUCUUCCUUUCUCUCUCCCAACGUUGCAUCCUCUCUCUCUCUUUCCCGGUCGUCUUAUCC